AUGUGGGAUCUUGCUGACUGCCAACGCAAUAGCUAUUUCCUUUCUUUCUUACUAAUCCAACCCUGGGUAGGGGUAAUGAAGUCCAGGCUAGAUCAUUGCAUCUGCUCUGUUCUCAAGGAAAUGAUGUUGCCCCCUGGAGGACAGUUUGGGAAUUAUUGUGGGAAAUUUGUGUUUAUUUCCAGGUUGUCAAAUGGUUCCAAUGCGGACAGUAUUGCUCCCUCCAGAGCGUUUUGGAAGUUUGCAGGGACUUUUUUGGACAUCACAAUAAUGAAGGCUUGUUACUGGUGCUGGAAAACAGGGAUCUGCAACAUGACCUUGCACUUCACAAAGUUUCUAUUUAUAUUUAUGUGGCUGUUUUAUCUCUUCCACUGGAUUAUGACUGUCCUUAAAAGCAGAGCUGUGUAUGAUCCAUGGGAUUUUACAGAAGUGGCAGUGUGUGACUUCCAAGGCUGAGUUAUAAAAGACAUUGAUGGGGUGCCUCAUUUGGUAAGUGUCUGCUAUCGGCUCAGGUCAUGAUCCGGGAUCCUGGGGUCCAGUCCAGCACUGGGCUCCCUGCUCCGCAGAGAGUCGGCUUCUUCCUCUGCUGCUCCCCCUGCUCAUGCUCUCUCCCAAAUAAAUAUGUUAAAAAAAAAAUAAAAGACAUUUCUGCUUUCACCUUGCUCUCAUGGAUCACUCAGUUUGGGGGAAGCCAGCCCCCAUGUCAUGAGGACAUUCACAAAGCCUGGCGGUUGUGCCCAUGUGGAGUGGAAUUGAGGCUCCCAGCCAUCAGCCCAUGUCAACUUGCCAGCCAUAAGGAGUGAGUCACCUUGGGAAGGGAUCUUUUAUCACAAGCCAUCAGAUGACUGUAGUCCCAGCUGACAUCCGACCCCAUGCUCAUGAAAGACCUUGUGCCAGAACAGCCCAGAUAAGCUGCUCUGAAUCCCAGACCCACAGAAACCAUAAGAGAUAAUAACUAUUUAUUGUUAAGUCUCUAAUUUUUUACAUGAUUUGUUCACAUCUAUAACCAAGAGUAAGCAUUGGCCAAACAUUUUUUUUUUUUUUUGAGUGAUAUUGUGAUCUUGGAUGAAUUCCUACCCCUUUCUGAGCCCCAGAGUUGUGGUCUGUAAAAGGGGAUGAAAUAUCCAUCUCUGAGGUUCAUAGAGUAUGUACCUCAGGGGCAAGAUCGGAGCACAUGGUAGAAGCUUAAUAUAUCUCCAGAAGUAUACCUCCAAUGAAGCAUGUGAGCCACACCACCUGGGUUUGAAUCCCAGUUUCACUACUUCUAAGGUAAGACUUCGUUCAGGCUACUAAUACUUAACUUUCCUGGACCUUAGACCCCUCAGCUG
rnacentral:lncRNA from 1 species